rnacentral:rRNA from 1 species
AGAGUUUGAUCCUGGCUCAGGACGAACGCUGGCGGCGUGCCUAACACAUGCAAGUCGAGCGGAGACAGUGAGUAGCUUGCUAUGAGCUGUUUUAGCGGCGGACGGGUGAGUAACGCGUGAGCAACCUUUCCCAGACAGGGGAAUAACACACCGAAAGGUGUACUAAUACCGCAUAAGACCACGGGAUCACAUGGUUCUGGGGUAAAAGAUUUAUCGGUUUGGGGUGGGCUCGCGUCCGAUUAGGUAGUUGGUGAGGUAACGGCCCACCAAGCCGACGAUCGGUAGCCGACCUGAGAGGGUGAUCGGCCACAUUGGGACUGAGACACGGCCCAAACUCCUACGGGAGGCAGCAGUGGGAAUAUUGGGCAAUGGAGGAAACUCUGACCCAGCAACGCCGCGUGGAGGAAGAAGGUUUUCGGAUCGUAAACUCCUGUCCUUGGAGACGAGUAGAAGACGGUAUCCAAGGAGGAAGCCCCGGCUAACUACGUGCCAGCAGCCGCGGUAAUACGUAGGGGGCAAGCGUUGUCCGGAAUAAUUGGGCGUAAAGGGCGCGUAGGCGGCUCGGUAAGUCUGGAGUGAAAGUCCUGCUUUUAAGGUGGGAAUUGCUUUGGAUACUGUCGGGCUUGAGUGCAGGAGAGGUUAGUGGAAUUCCCAGUGUAGCGGUGAAAUGCGUAGAGAUUGGGAGGAACACCAGUGGCGAAGGCGACUAACUGGACUGUAACUGACGCUGAGGCGCGAAAGUGUGGGGAGCAAACAGGAUUAGAUACCCUGGUAGUCCACACUGUAAACGAUGAAUGCUAGGUGUAGGGGGUAUCGACCCCUUCUGUGCCGCAGUCAACACAAUAAGCAUUCCGCCUGGGGAGUACGGCCGCAAGGUUGAAACUCAAAGGAAUUGACGGGGGCCCGCACAAGCAGCGGAGCAUGUGGUUUAAUUCGACGCAACGCGAAGAACCUUACCAGGUCUUGACAUCCACUUAAACUUACAGAGAUGUAAGGUGUGCUUGCACAAAGUGAGACAGGUGGUGCAUGGUUGUCGUCAGCUCGUGUCGUGAGAUGUUGGGUUAAGUCCCGCAACGAGCGCAACCCUUAUCUUCAGUUACUAACGCGUGAGGGUGAGGACUCUGAAGAGACUGCCGGGGACAACUCGGAGGAAGGUGGGGACGACGUCAAAUCAUCAUGCCCCUUAUGACCUGGGCUACACACGUGCUACAAUGGCCACGAC